rnacentral:rRNA from 1 species
CCCUACGGGGGGCAGCAGUGGGGAAUAUUGCACAAUGGGGGAAACCCUGAUGCAGCCAUGCCGCGUGUGUGAAGAAGGCCUUCGGGUUGUAAAGCACUUUCAGUGGGGAGGAAGGGAUGAUGUCUAAUACGCAUUGUCAUUGACGUUACCCACAGAAGAAGCACCGGCUAACUCCGUGCCAGCAGCCGCGGUAAUACGGAGGGUGCAAGCGUUAAUCGGAAUAACUGGGCGUAAAGCGCACGCAGGCGGUUAGAUAAGUCAGAUGUGAAAUCCCCGGGCUCAACCUGGGAACUGCAUUUGAAACUGUCUGACUAGAGUCUUGUAGAGGGGGGUAGAAUUCCAGGUGUAGCGGUGAAAUGCGUAGAGAUCUGGAGGAAUACCGGUGGCGAAGGCGGCCCCCUGGACAAAGACUGACGCUCAGGUGCGAAAGCGUGGGGAGCAAACAGGAUUAGAUACCCUUGUAGUC